UUGAACGCUGGCGGCAUGCUUUACACAUGCAAGUCGAACGGUAGCAGGCCUUCGGGUGCUGACGAGUGGCGAACGGGUGAGUAAUGCAUCGGAACGUGCCCAGUCGUGGGGGAUAACGUAGCGAAAGUUACGCUAAUACCGCAUACGCCCUGAGGGGGAAAGUGGGGGACCGCAAGGCCUCACGCGAAUGGAGCGGCCGAUGUCAGAUUAGCUAGUUGGUGGGGUAAAGGCCCACCAAGGCGACGAUCUGUAGCGGGUCUGAGAGGAUGAUCCGCCACACUGGGACUGAGACACGGCCCAGACUCCUACGGGAGGCAGCAGUGGGGAAUUUUGGACAAUGGGCGCAAGCCUGAUCCAGCCAUUCCGCGUGAGUGAAGAAGGCCUUCGGGUUGUAAAGCUCUUUCAGCCGGAACGAAACGGUACGCUCUAACAUAGCGUGCUAAUGACGGUACCGGCAGAAGAAGCACCGGCUAACUACGU
rnacentral:rRNA from 1 species